GACUACAAUGGAUGCCAUGUGCACAGAAUGAACAAUGUAUAAUACAUUUAAUUCCUAUGACAGAAAUGAUUCAAGUAAUUGUGAGUAGCAAGCCAGGCGCACGGCAGGACCACUGCAGGGACAACCACCAUCAGGUAGAACCACCAUCACAUAGAACCACCAUCCACAGAAGCCUGUGGGGAGGGAGAGCACAACGACUGUAGGGGAGGGUAAUGUCUGUUUAUGAGUACAGUAAUGUGAUUAAUAUCUAAAAUAAUGAUGAUGAUGAUGAUGAUGGCAGCAGCAGCAGGCGUCAGCAGGGCCACGGCAGGUGUCAGGACCAGGGUCCAAAAGGAACUACGAUCUACGGAGACCGGAUAGGGGAGAAAGCACACAAAAAAACUCCCGGAAAGAAGCUGAAUUGGUCAUGUGCAUUAAUAAAACGUGGAUUAUGGUAGAACGAGAGCGUGAGACAGGAGCUCGGUGUGUCCUAAGAAGUCCCCCGGCAGUCUAAGCCUAUAGCAGCUUAACUAAGGGCUGGUCCGGGCUAACCUGAGCCAGCCCUAACUAUAGGCACAAUCAAAGAGGAAAGUUUUAAGUUUUACUUUAAAAGAGCGAAAUGACCGAAUCUGCCCCCCGGACGUAUUUCAAUAUGAUAUUUUUUCUUAAAGUCCUGGAAUAUUUGGGUUUGGUCAUGGUUGGGACCAUCUGCAUAUUUGUUUUGCUUUAUAAAUGAAGUUUACCACUGAAGCUGAGAAUAAAACAUCUCUUAGACUGUUCAGGGGGAGUGACGCGUUUAUAAUCACCCAAUACAAUAAAAGUCACUGAGGCCUUGUUACCCGUGUAACUCGGUUUGGUCUGAGAUGCUCAUCGUCAGCAGUUAUUCCACCGCACACAUACAGCAUUUGUUUUAAGGAAAACAAACAAUCAAUUCAAUUCACAGAAGUUCCGUUGACCUUGCAACGAGACCGUUUCGGCUUCAAGGAGCCACUCGCCUGUAUUUUAACUCAGCGAGGCAACGAUCCCCUGCAGGAGAGCCGAGGACACGGAGACGGACGGAUUUGAUACUUCACACAUCCGGCGGCUCUCUGCGAUCGGUUAAACUCGCUUUGUUCAUAAACUGUAGUUUAAUGUUUGUCAAAACCCCUUUUUCAACACGUUACAGUGGACUGUACAAAACUGCUUUUCCUGGAGCUUGUUAGAGCACUUCAGGGGGGAUGCGUUGCGGUGAAGAGCUGUCGGAGUACACCACUGAAUUGUAUUUUUCCCAAAUGACAAACACUCAAUAAUUCAGAGAGCAUAAGAGAACGGUGCAACACUUCCACAGGAGCCCAGUGAGCGGGGCGCUAAACACAUGCCGUCAGUGAGUCUGUGAAUUAUUCAGCCCAGAUGAGAGCCGUGUCACUCGGCUGUGAGUGAGUACGAAACGCCGCCGCGCAGAUGUUUCUGCCGCGCAGAUGUUUUGGUGAACGUCGGGGCAUUUUUUUCUUCAUGCCUAUAUUUACACCACACCGCGGCGUUGAGCUCUUUGUACUCUCUGCGCUAACUGCGCUAAAGGAGUCAUCGUUUAGAGCAACGGCAGCCCGUUGAAAUGCCGCUUCACUCCAUCUGCGGAGAAGGUGGUGCGGAACAGACGGAGCCAAACAAUCACAGAAGGCUCCAGUACGCUUCACUCAGCAAACAACAGCAGCAAGGACAGAUUAGAAGAAUGUACACGUGCAUCCGUAAACAUCCAUGCAUAUAUGUGUGUGUGUGUGUGUGUGUGUGUGUGUGUGUGUGUGUGUGUGUGUGUGUGUGUGUGUGUGUGUGUGUGUGUGUGUGUGCGUGUGCGUGUGCAUGGUUAUGGCUUAACACGCAGAGCACUCAGAAGAAACAAAGCAAUGUGCUGAUGAACUGCACUUAUUUCAAUACACUUUCGCUGUUCACUGUCUCCAUGUGUGUGCUUAUGUGGACGUUUUCAUGACACAUUUCGAGGAUCUUAAAGAACAAGGAUACAGAAAAAGAGACGGCCGUCUCGUCUCCAAGGAGGGAUUAUUGGGCAAACUACAACACGAUGUCACUGGGGCUGGAACAUAACUCUUGCUAUUAACGAGCCGCCUUCCUCCACAUUAACUCCAACCACCAGAUAUUGCAGACUUGAGUUAAUUCCUGGUGUGAAAUGACUUUCCGCGAACCUGGUGGCGAUUGAGAAAAGCGGUUAUCACAACGUGAACUUGGUGGAUUUCAUGUCGGCCCACAAGUGAACGCAUUGGGAGACGUCUCAUUGCUGUGGAUGAAAUUGCCUUAUUUGUUCCGGUUGGAGAGUUGAAAGGCGGCCCGGACGCAGGACGCCGGGCAGGGCGGGGGAACACAAGGCGCGCUUUAAUGUGACAAACGUGGUUCUGGAGAGCAGAACCGAGGGAGCAGGCUGGAUGGAUUUAUGACAAGGGCAAAAAUACAAAUCCAUGAACGGACUGGGAUUCAAACGAGGGACAAGGAACACAAGACGAACCCUGAACGAGGGAAAGCACACAGGCUUCAUGCAAAGGGGGAU
ensembl:lncRNA